rnacentral:rRNA from 1 species
UACGGAGGGGGCUAGCGUUGUUCGGAAUUACUGGGCGUAAAGCGCACGUAGGCGGCUUUGUAAGUUAGAGGUGAAAGCCUGGAGCUCAACUCCAGAACUGCCUUUAAGACUGCAGCGCUCGAGUCCAGGAGAGGAGAGUGGAAUUCCGAGUGUAGAGGUGAAAUGCGUAGAUAUUCGGAAGAACACCAGUGGCGAAGGCGGCUCACUGGACUGGUAUUGACGCUGAGGUGCGAAAGCGUGGGGAGCAAACAGG